rnacentral:rRNA from 1 species
GAUGAACGCUAGCGAUAGGCUUAACACAUGCAAGUCGAGGGGCAGCGAGGGUAGCAAUACCUGUCGGCGACCGGCGCACGGGUGAGUAACGCGUAUGUAACCUGCCCGCAACAGGGGGAUAACCCGGCGAAAGUCGGACUAAUACCGCAUAAAACAGGGGUCCCGCAUGGGAAUAUUUGUUAAAGAUUUAUCGGUUGCGGAUGGGCAUGCGUACCAUUAGGUAGUUGGUGAGGUAACGGCUCACCAAGCCUUCGAUGGUUAGGGGUUCUGAGAGGAAGGUCCCCCACACUGGUACUGAGACACGGACCAGACUCCUACGGGAGGCAGAAGUGAGGAAUAUUAGUCAAUGGGCGAGAACAUGAACCAGCCAGGUCGCGUGAAGGAUGACUGCCCUAUGGGUUGUAAACUUCUUUUACAAGGGAAUAAAAUGAGAUACGUGUAUUUUAUUGAAUGUACCUUAGGAAUAAGCAUCGGCUAACUCCGUG